GGAGUGGGAGGCUUUGGGAUGGGGGGCUUGCAGAAUGGUAACCUGGAAGUGGGAUAUCAUUUGAGAUGUAAACGAAUGGAGUGGAUAGUGACUUGGCAGUUCAGAGCUCCUGCUGUUCCCGCAAAGGAUCUGAGAUCGGUCAUACACCUACCCUGUCAACAUGACACAGCAUUUCCAUCUUACAAAACCAAAGCAGCAGAAUAUUACUUCACAAAAGAAGAAAAGUGAAGGAAGCAGUCAGCCUCAAUAUGGGCUCCUAUAUCAGAUAUAGGUGACAAAGAUGAAUAUCACAGACAAAUCCAGGCUGAGGCAUCACAAUGGAAGCGUCUCUGUGCUGCCUUACCUCCCUCACCACAGUAGUCCAGAACCUCUGAAAAGAUGAGUCCAGGUUAGUCUUUCUCUUGUCAUAGUGGCCAAAGUUUAAGUACACUAAUAU